rnacentral:rRNA from 1 species
GACGAACGCUGGCGGCGUGCUUAACACAUGCAAGUCGAACGCUGAAGCUCAGCUUGCUGGGUGGAUGAGUGGCGAACGGGUGAGUAACACGUGAGUAACCUGCCCUCUUCUUUGGGAUAACGCCCGGAAACGGGUGCUAAUACUGGAUAUUCACUGAUUCUCGCAUGGGGGUUGGUGGAAAGGUUUUUUCUGGUGGGGGAUGGGCUCGCGGCCUAUCAGCUUGUUGGUGGGGUGAUGGCCUACCAAGGCUUUGACGGGUAGCCGGCCUGAGAGGGUGACCGGUCAGAUUGGGACUGAGAUACGGCCCAGACUCCUACGGGAGGCAGCAGUGGGGAAUAUUGCACAAUGGGCGAAAGCCUGAUGCAGCGACGCCGCGUGAGGGAUGGAGGCCUUCGGGUUGUAAACCUCUUUCGCUCAUGGUCAAGCCGCAGCUUUGGGUUGUGGUGAGGGUAGUGGGUAAAGAAGCGCCGGCUAACUACGUG